GUUUUCUCAUUAAUUUAUACUUUUUUUUUUGAGUUUUUUUCCUUUUUCGCUCUCGUUUUUUCUUGUUUCAUUGGAGCGCUUCAGAGUUUUGUUAUCGAAGGCUAUCAUCAUCGGAGUUUUGGUAAAGGCUAUCAUCAUCGUCAUCGUCAUCGGUUUCUAUCUAACUCUGUCGAUGAUUGACGCUAUGCCCACACCAUCACUGAGGUAUUUCUUUAAAAACUUUAAUUAUUUGUUUGAAAGUUUUUAAUUUUGACUAAAAAACCCAGAAAAAAGGGACGACAACACAUAUAAUUGUUGUAUGCCUGGUUCUAACUUGGGGAAACUGUUCUGUAUCAUCUACAAUGUCUAACGCAAGCAGACAAAGAUCUAUCUUGAAGUGGUCUCUGAAUCAAGUAAGCCUUGUCUAGUUAUGUAUCCAAGAUUAAUGAAUUCAAUAUCUUGGAUCAAACUUGGCAAGCAUGACCAGAUAAAACUUCAUUAUAUAUCUCACGUAUGUAAGACUUGUCUUUUGAUAUUAUUGAAAACCCAAAAGAAAGGGACGUCAACAUAUGUGCUUGUUGUAUGUCCGGUUUCUAACUUGGGGAAAUUGUCCGAUAUAACACAAGCAGACAAAGAGAUAUAUUUUGAAGUGAUCUUUAAAUUAAGUAAGACUUGUCAAGUUAUGUAACCAAGAUUCAUGAAUUCAGUAUCUUGGAUCAAACUUGGCAAGCAUGAUCAGAUAAAACUUCACUAUAUAUCUCACAUAUGUAAGACUUGUCUUUUCAUUUUAUUGAAAACCCAAGAGAUAGGGACGGCAACACAUAUGAUUGUUGUAUCUCCGGUUUCUAACUUGGGGAAAUUGUCACGUCUAUAAUGUUGCCUAACACAAGCAAACAAAGAUAUAUCUUGAAGUGGUUUCUAAAUCAAGUAAGACUUGUCAAAUAUGUAUCCAAGAUUCAUGAUAUCAAUAUCUUGGAUCAAACUUGGCAAGCAUGAUCACAUAAAACUUCAUUAUAUAUCUUGCAUAUAUGCCUUUAAGGUAAUUCAAGUUGUCUGCUGAGACUUUAUAUCUAGCUGAGCUGGGAUAGCAUAUGGUAUUCAAUGUUCUGCAUAUGUUCUUGGAGGAAAAAAAUGAAAUGUCCUUUAUUAAGGCUUCAAUGAUCUGCUUAAUCUAAUGAUUGGAGACAUGGAUUCAAUAAUCUGCUUAAAGAUAAGAAUGAUAAUGUUCAAUGAUCUGCAUAUUGAUUAGAGGAGAAAUGUAUUUCAAUGUUCAAUGAUCUGCUAAAAGCUGAGCUGGGACAGCAUAAGAUAUAAUCUGCUUAUUGAUUAAAGGAGAAAUGUCUUUUUAAGGAGACUUGUCUAAUGAUGGUGUUACAGAGAUUGGCAAAAUUCAAUUUUCUGCCUAAGUAUAAGAGUAUAUCUAGCUGAGCUGGGACAGCAUGAUGUAAAAUAAUAUUCAAUGUUCUGCAUGGGAUGGAGGAGGGGAAAAAAUUCAGUCUUCUGCUGAAAGAUAAAAUGCUAAUGUUCAAGGAUCUGCAUAUUGACUGGAGGAGAAAUGGAUUUUUAAGGAGGCUUGGCAAAAUUCAAUGAAACUAUAUGUAGCUGAGCUGGGACAGCAUGAUGUAAUAAUAUUCAAUGUUCUGCAUGGGAUGGAGGAGGGAAAAAAAAUUCAGUCUUCUGCUGAAAGAUAAAUGUUAAUGUUCAAUGAUCUGCAUAUUGACUUGAGGAGAAAUGUUUUAUAAGGAGGCUUGUCUAAUGAUGGUGUUACAGAGAUUGGCGAAAUUCAAUGAAACUCGAUAUCUAGCUGAGCUGGGACAGCAUGAUGUAAUAAUAUUCAAUGUUCUGCAUGGGAUGGAGGAGGGGAAAAAAUUCAGUCUUCUGCUGAAAGAUAAAAUGCUAAUGUUCAAUGAUCUGCAUAUUGAUUGGAGGAGAAACAAAUUGUUAAGGAGGCUUAUCUAAAGAUAUAUUGGGUGUCCAAUGAUUUGCUGAAAUCUAUGUCUAGCUGAGCCUGGACAGCAUAUGAUAUAGUAAUAUACUCAAUGAUCUGCAUAUUGAUGGAGGAGAAAUGGCUUCUUAAGAAGGCAUGUUUAAUGAUAUAUUAAGAAAUUGUCCAAUGAUCUGCUGAAAUCUAUGUCUAGCUGAGCCUGGACAGCAUAUGAUAUUGUCCCGUAUGUCUACAAUACUAGUAAGUUCAUUUUUCCGAAACCGAAGGUAAGUUUAUUUCUCUUUUGUUCAUAUUUCUAGCAAAAGUUAGGUAAGUGAAGAACUAACCGACUUAUUGUAAUAUGUACUAAUCACAUCUUUCUGUUGACCUUUUCUUAACAGGGGAAUUGAGUUUCUGCAGGAAGUCAGUUUAGGGUUCAUAUUCUUUUCCGAUUUGAUCAGGUAAAGACUGAUAACUGUUUUGCAAUGAGUUAUUAGUUAGCUUGUCCUUUUAGAUUUGUGUCUCAGGAUAAGGUGAACAAGUUUGGUGCUCUCUUCACAUCUAUACUUUGACUUAUAAGAGAUUAAAAAAAAAAAAAAGCUAUGGUUUCUCAGGAUAAGGUGAAACAAGUUUGGUGUUCUCUUCAACACUAUUGGCGAGCAAGAAAAUAACUUUGGUUUCUCAGGUUUGAGUUAGUCGUUUCUUGCUUUGAGAAAGCCAACAAGAAAUGUAAUGAGUAGAGCACGAGGAAACCAAGUUAUUGCAGGAAUGGAGUUUUUGAGGAUUGAUUACAUGGUUCCCGCUUUUUAAUCAGGUCAGUGUAUUCUUAUUUAAACCAAAUUAUUUUAGUAGCAAUGAGUUCGUCCAAAGAUCGCUUGGUUAAGACUAACGUUAAAACUUCAAUUGAACUACUAACUCAUUAAAGCAAAUAUUAAUCAUGAACGCAAACACACACACUAAACGCAAACACCUCCAAACACAAACACAAACACACACGUGAUGCUAACAAAAACAUGAACGUGAACGCAGAGGGUAAACGUAAAC